CUUUGAAUGAAGUUGCUAUGUUCUUGGAUAACUUAAGGAGGGAAACCAAUAAUGAAGGGGUUAAAAUGACUUGUGGAAUUAGGCAGAGAAAGAAGUGCAGAUUUUACACCCCUCACCCCCCUCCUCCUCCUUCUUCUAGGACAGAGUGUAAAAGAGUGAUACAGACAGCUGAGCCCCUCCCAAUUUAUUCAACUAAAAACUGUAGAGUUGAUAAUAAAAGGCAGAAUAUAACUCCUAAAGUUAUUUGUUUUUGGUGCAAUAAACAACAUUAUUUAAGGUCUUGC